rnacentral:rRNA from 1 species
GACGAACGCUGGCGGCGUGCUUAACACAUGCAAGUCGAACGGAAAGGCCUUUUCGGAGGUACUCGAGUGGCGAACGGGUGAGUAACACGUGGGUGAUCUGCCCUGCACUCUGGGAUAAGCCUGGGAAACUGGGCCUAAUACCGGAUAGGACCGCACUUUAGUGUGUGUGGUGGAAAGUUUUUUCGGUGUAGGAUGAGCCCGCGGCCUAUCAGCUUGUUGGUGGGGUAAUGGCCUACCAAGGCAGCGACGGGUAGCCGGACUGAGAGGUUGGUCGGCCACAUUGGGACUGAGAUACGGCCCAGACUCCUACGGGAGGCAGCAGUGGGGAAUAUUGCACAAUGGGCGCAAGCCUGAUGCAGCGACGCCGCGUGGGGGAUGACGGCCUUCGGGUUGUAAACUCCUUUCGCCAGGGACGAAGCGUUUUGUGACGGUACCUGGAGAAGAAGCACCGGCUAACUACGUG